rnacentral:rRNA from 1 species
UACGUAGGGUGCAAGCGUUAAUCGGAAUUACUGGGCGUAAAGCGUGCGCAGGCGGUGCUGUAAGACAGGCGUGAAAUCCCCGGGCUUAACCUGGGAAUGGCGCUUGUGACUGCAGUGCUGGAGUGCGGCAGAGGAGGAUGGAAUUCCGCGUGUAGCAGUGAAAUGCGUAGAUAUGCGGAGGAACACCAAUGGCGAAGGCAAUCCCCUGGGCCUGUACUGACGCUCAUGCACGAA